UGUUGGAAAAAAGUUUGGAUGUUGCCACACACAUACCUACUUGUUAACAAAAUUAAGGACGUUUCUUUUAAAAUUAUUCAUAAAUAUUAUCCUGCCAACCACUAUAUGAAGAAGUUUAAGGAAAACCAACUCAAAUUGCUCCUUUUGUAAUGACCACCCAGAAACAGUUUUGCAUCUUUUUUGGCAUUGUAUUCAUGUAAGAAAACUGUGGCAAGACAUCAGUAGGUUUAUAAUUGAACACAUUUAUGAAGAUUUUACACUAUUGUGGAGAGAUGUACUGUUUGGAUUCUUUACAUACGAUAGAAAUAAGCGCAAUCAUUUUUAUGUAAUUAAUUUCAUUAUUCUUUUGGCCAAAUUUCAUAUACACAAAUGUAAAUUUACAAACAGAAAACCACAUUUUCGUACCCUACAAAAAGAAAUUGAACUGUAUUUUAAGACGGUUAAACACUCUACUAACAAAAAAGCUGUUAGAAUUGUAAGUAUAUGCAUGUCCCUUAAGGUCCUUGUGUAAUUGUAAUGUGAUAUUGUACCCCCUAGCCCCGCCCCCAGCCCCGCCCCUAGCGCGAUUGUCUAUGGUUUGUAAUCUAUGUAUGCUUGUGUUCCCUCAUGUGCUUUAUGUAUUGAUUUGAUAUUUAAAAAAAUACAAAUUAAAAAUAUAUAUUAAAAAUAAAAAAUACUGUUGAAAAUGGACGAGGAAACCAGGUUCUUUACUUUUGUGUGUGUGUAAUAUUUGCAACAUUUGAAUUGAAUAUCACUUUCUCACUAUACACGUUAUGGUGACACAUAUGCCAGGGGCUUUAUGCGUAAAAGUGCAUCAUUUGCACAACACACUAAAAAUUAGAGGUUCAACAAGGGUUCUUCUAAGAUCCUCAAAGUUCUUCGAAGAACCUUAGUGUUUUCGGCAAGAACCCCAUAGCAGGUGGGGUUCAUCGAGGAACCUCCUUAGAUGGUGGGGGUUAUUGCAGGAGCUGCCCAACUGAAACAUUUGGAUUUGAAAGGACAGCAGGUGCAGGCACUUAAAUGAAACAUGUAAAUUCAUAUUGUUUUAUGAUGAUACCAUCUAUCUUUUAAUAUGUGAAAAUCUUUCUGAAACAGGAAAUGUACACAAUUCAUUGGAUAUCAAUCAACAAAGAGAUUCACAGACCGUUCCUACACCUCUGAUGAGUAUAACAGGAAACCUGUUCGAUCACCAUGCACUGAAAAAUCAUUCUGGCUAUGGAUACGGAGAACAUCAACAUCAACAUGCCAGAGGAUAUACCCACUGGACUUGGGGCCCUGCUGGGGGUUUACCUCCUAUUUAGAUUUUUGUAUUCUGCUUUGCCACAAUAAAUCAUAAUAAACACUAACUAAAA
ensembl:lncRNA